CAGAUUAUCCAGCACCAUAAUUUUUUUGCUUGAAAGUGUCUCCAUGAAUAUUUGCUUCUUUUGCCUAAAUUGCUGAAGCAUGUUAAGCCCUUGAAAACUUGUGAAGAUUGGGCUCCCUCUUUGAUACAAAUUCAUUGAAGAUCAUAUAUCAAAGUUAAAAAGCUGUAGAGUAAGUGGAAUAGCUUAAAUCAAUGUGCCUACUGUAUGUAGCAGCAACUCUUAUCAUUGACAUUUCCAAGCUAGAUGAAUUGCCGAAUGGUUAGUUGGGAAUUCAAAAAGUCCAUCAAGGGGACUUAAUUAGCAACCACAAAUUCUACAAUCCCAACUCUAUUAAGUAAUGUGACACAUACACAUAUCUGUCUCCAUCAGUAUGUGGUGUCUCUUUCUCAUUCACAAUUUUUGAAGCAAAUUCAAGAGGAAAUUCAAUGUUGAACUUGAGAGCUUGGGGACGAGGAUGGAAAUAGUGAUGUCUUGGGGAACUGAAGUCUUUCCUAAUAGGGACUUCAAUGUGCAAGGAUGAAACAACAUCAUUUUUGGGGAUUGGUAUUAUUCUUUGGGUUAUUGUUUGAGAAGGUGUUGAAAUUCUCCAGAGAGAAGCCCAUUCCCAUGUAAGUCACCAGAGCAACCGGUGGAGGCUUUUAGGGUGGAACGCUGCCAAACCUGUGAAGCUGUGACAAUCAUAUCAGUAGAGCACAGUGUACUCUGCUUCAGACUUUUUAUGGAGAGAGAAGUCCUCUGAAACAACAUCGUUUUACUUGGUCAAAUAAAAGAGACUCCAACCUUGUCAUGCCCUUGAUAGAGUCCUCUGAAACCCUCUUUGGAAAACCCUUUUUGAAGAGGCCAAUGUCCUUCAUCUCCCAAAAAUUUCCUUUGACCAUCCCCCAUCCUCAUUAACAACUCCCCUUCCUCUCACUCCUUCAAUCAAAUAUCCAACUGCAAAGGUAAUCAUUGCGUGGAUCUUUUGGCAAAGGAAGGGAAUUUAUCAAAUUAUUUUGUUUUAUUUCACUCCAAUCCCCCUUCUUCUAUUUUGUACCAGUUUUUAGUUGAUGCUUGGGGCAUUGUUU